UGUCAAAGUAGCAGACACCAACGAAGAAACCUCCUCAUCCAACAAUACAUUCAUCAACAUUCAUCAAAAAGAAAAAAAAAUAUUUUUUUCUAUUUUAUGUUCAUAAGAUUGUCAUAGAUGAGAUACCAUAGUAAAUUAUUAGAUGCAUAAAUAUAAACCAGAGAAAGAAGAAGUUUGAGCAUCACUGGGACUGUGUUUGGCUUUAAAAGUCAGAGUCAACGUCAAAGUCAAAGUGGCAUCACUAACUACAAUAUUACAUGCACAACCUAGUUUUGAAGUUGAAGAUAUAGCAACACAACACAAACAUAAACUCUAAUCAUUAAUAUAAAAAUAUUUCUUUAGAAAGAAAAAAUAAACAAGAAGAAGAGAACAGAGCUGAAUCAAGACCCAGAAAUUGAGAUUUAUUCAUUCAAAAAGAAAAUUCUCGAGAGGGAGGAGAUCCAAAAAAAUCCAACAACGAGCUGACUGAGUGGCUGUGGCACUCGAUUUUUCUCUGCAAAUUGGUCAACCGAGUUUGUCUAAGGUGGUUCAAUUUGUAUUUUCUCUUUUCAUUCUGGAAACUGAAAUACAGCUAUGUGUCUUAGGAAUAAUACUGGGAUGAAUUGCUAUUUUAUUCUCGAUACCCAUGCAAAUUGGUGAAUUUUAACUUGUUGGGUGCUGGAGAAAUUUGUAAUUUUGGGUGGAAACGGCUUUCUGAAUGGUGUAGGAGUCUGUUUUAUUGAGCAAUGCAACCCCAGCAAGGGUUCAGAAUUGAUUUAGCUGAAUUGAAAGCUCAGAUAGUGAAGAAGAUUGGGGUUGAGAGGUCAAAAAGGUAUUUUUAUGAUUUGACUAGGUUUUUAAGUCAGAAGCUCAGUAAAAAUGAGUUUGAUAAGUCAUGUUACCGCUUACUUGGGAGGGAGAAUCUGCCACUGCAUAAUCAGUUGAUACGUUCGAUGUUAAAAAAUGCAUGUCAGGCUAAGACUCCACCACCAGUUUUUGAAGCAGCUCCCGUGAAAUCUUUGAUACAAACUGCGAAAACUUCUCCUGCUAGAGAAGAUGAUGGACAUCAACAUGUGGGGUCACAUCCAAAUACAGAUAAAUGGUCAAAUGGUGUUUUGCCAGUGUCAUCCCCACGAAAGGUUAGGUCUGGAAUUCGGGAUAGAAAACUCAGGGAUAGGCCCAGCCCGCUGGGGCCAAAUGGAAAGAUUGUUGUUUCAUAUCAGUCAGUUGGGAAGGGAGACAAUAGCAUUAAAUUGGGUAUGGACAAUGGGGAUUUGACUCCAUAUGACUAUCAGAGACCAGUGCAGCAUCUUCUAGCAGUUGCCGAGCAGCCUGAAAUUCAAAGAGAAGGUUUGGUGCAUUCCACAGGAAGACCAAAGGUGCCUAGUAAAGAUCAGAGUGAAGGAGCCUUUGUUGAAGAUGGGGAGGAGGUGGAACAAAUUAAUCCCAUUAAUCUCCUCUCUACAAGUUCUUUGCUUGCACCACUUGGGAUCUCAUUUUGCUCAGCUAGUGUAGGUGGGGCCCGCAAAGCUCCUGCGGUGGCUAGCAGUGGCGGCUUCAUUAGCUACUAUGACAGUGGCGGUUUGUAUGAUACUGAGACAUUGAAGAAACGUAUGGAUCAGAUUGCAGCAGUGCAGGGCCUUGGAGACGUUUCCGCAGAAUGUGCUAGCUUGUUGAGUAGCAUGUUGGAUGUCUACUUGAAGAAACUGAUUAGGUCAUGUGUUGAUUUGGUUGGAUCAAGGUCAACAAGUGAACCGAGAAAGCACUGUGCCCACAAGCAGCAGCCUCAAGGCAAGCUUGUUAAUGGUAUGUGGCCAAGCAAUCACUGGCAUAUGCAGAGUACCACUGGGCCCACAAAAGUUUUGCAUGAGCAGGGGCAGCAGCGCUCAAUAUCUCUGCUUCAUUUCAAAGUGGCAAUGGAGCUAAAUCCUCAGCAGCUGGGUGAAGAUUGGCCAUGGCUGCUUGAAAAAAUUUGUAUGCAUUCCUUUGAAGAAUGAGUUCCCUGCAAAAAUUUGUUUAUCAUGAAGCUGUGAUUGGUUCAACGUGUUUACAAGAUGUUGAUAACUGAAGCUCCUAGUUUUGGAUUACUGACAUGUACCGGAUGGAUCAGUCAGAUAAAGCUCUGCCCUUUGCAAGAUGAAAUUAUGGGUUUGAGUGUCAGGAUGCCUGUACACCUGCUGCUGAGCCGGGAUUGAUCAUAUAAUUAUCUUUGAGCAACUGAAGUAUGCUGCUUGAAAAGAAAGUGCUUACAACUGGUUGCUCUGUCGUAAGAUUAGCAAUUUUUGUUGGCUGUUUGCUGCCAUUUCAACAGAUCUCAAGUUUUUCUUGUAAUUUACAGCCAAUGAGGAGGAAAGGUACAAUUGAGAGGCAUGAUUAUGAAGGGCCUAUGUUCGACAUGAGGAUACAUCUGAGGUUUUGUGCUUAUCAAUGUAAGCCCUUGAACUUUGAAGCAAGGGAGGAUGAAUGUAAUUAUAUAAGUACUGUUUAUAUAUAGUAAACCUUAGGCAAUUGUAGCAAUUAUGAGAGAAAACACUGAUCAAUUCAAACAGCGCCACCAGCAGUAAGCGUACUUUGAUUCACAUUUAUUUUUAUUACCAGUGAAUUGAGUGUUCCUUCCAGUGCA